rnacentral:rRNA from 1 species
UACAGAGGGUGCGAGCGUUGUCCGGAAUCACUGGGCGUAAAGGGCGCGUAGGUGGCGCGACAAGUCAGUGGUGAAAGCUCGGCGCUUAACGCCGAGUCGGCCACUGAUACUGUUGGGCUUGAGCACUGUAGAGGCUAAUGGAAUUCCGGGUGUAGCGGUGAAAUGCGUAGAGAUGUGGAGGAACACCAGUGGCGAAGGCGACUCUUUGGCCUGUAACUGACGCUGAGGCGCGAAAGCGUGGGGGAGCAAACAGG